rnacentral:rRNA from 1 species
AACGAACGCUGGCGGCAUGCCUAACACAUGCAAGUCGAACGAGACCUUCGGGUCUAGUGGCGCACGGGUGCGUAACGCGUGGGAACCUGCCCUUAGGUUCGGAAUAACUCCCCGAAAGGGGUGCUAAUACCGGAUAAUGUCUUCGGACCAAAGAUUUAUCGCCUUUGGAUGGGCCCGCGUUGGAUUAGCUAGUUGGUAGGGUAAAAGCCUACCAAGGCGACGAUCCAUAGCUGGUCUGAGAGGAUGAUCAGCCACACUGGGACUGAGACACGGCCCAGACUCCUACGGGAGGCAGCAGUGGGGAAUAUUGGACAAUGGGCGAAAGCCUGAUACAGCAAUGCCGCGUAAGUGAUGAAGGCCUUAGGGUUGUAAAGCUCCUUUACCCGGGAUGAUAAUGACAGUACCGGGAGAAUAAGCUCCGGCUAACUACGUG